rnacentral:lncRNA from 1 species
UCCUCCCUCAACUCCCUCUCUUAGCCGCUGCUCACCCAAAGCCUUUCCCCUUUUUGGCCACUAUUAUUCUCAUUUGUUCCCCGUUGAUCCUCACCUCUGAAUGCCCCCUUUUCGAUGACUCGUCCCUUCCCCCUUCUGUUUCCCUCUUCCCUCCCUCUUCCCUUUCCCCUCGCCGAACCAAUAGCAUAACCCCUCCCCCUUUCCCCUCUCCCCUCCUUGCCUUUCCCUCCCUUCACCGUCAAUCACCAACCACCCUCUCCUCCUCUCCAUUCGAUCUGUAACCACUCCACUUUUCUUCCUCCCCUCGCCUCACAUCUCACACUGCACCCACACACAACCCCU